CGGAUCCGCGCCGCUGCAGAGUUUGAUCCUGGCUCAGAUUGAACGCUGGCGGCAGGCUUAACACAUGCAAGUCGAGCGGUAACAGGAGAAGCUUGCUUCUCGCUGACGAGCGGCGGACGGGUGAGUAAUACUUAGGAAUCUGCCCAGUAGUGGGGGAUAGCUCGGGGAAACUCGAAUUAAUACCGCAUACACCCUACGGGGAAAAGGGGGCGCUUGCGCUCUCGCUAUUGGAUGAGCCUAAGUCGGAUUAGCUAGUUGGUGGGGUAAAGGCCUACCAAGGCGACGAUCUGUAGCUGGUCUGAGAGGAUGAUCAGCCACACCGGGACUGAGACACGGCCCGGACUCCUACGGGAGGCAGCAGUGGGGAAUAUUGGACAAUGGGGGCAACCCUGAUCCAGCCAUGCCGCGUGUGUGAAGAAGGCCUUUUGGUUGUAAAGCACUUUAAGCAGUGAAGAAGACCUAACGGUUAAUACCCGUUAGCGAUGACAUUAGCUGCAGAAUAAGCACCGGCUAACUCUGUGCCAGCAGCCGCGGUAAUACAGAGGGUGCAAGCGUUAAUCGGAAUUACUGGGCGUAAAGCGAGCGUAGGUGGCUUGAUAAGUCAGAUGUGAAAUCCCCGGGCUUAACCUGGGAACUGCAUCUGAUACUGUCAGGCUAGAGUAGGUGAGAGGGAGGUAGAAUUUCAGGUGUAGCGGUGAAAUGCGUAGAGAUCUGAAGGAAUACCGAUGGCGAAGGCAGCCUCCUGGCAUCAUACUGACACUGAGGUUCGAAAGCGUGGGUAGCAAACAGGAUUAGAUACCCUGGUAGUCCACGCCGUAAACGAUGUCUACUAGUCGUUGGGGAACUUGAUUCCUUAGUGACGCAGCUAACGCAAUAAGUAGACCGCCUGGGGAGUACGGCCGCAAGGUUAAAACUCAAAUGAAUUGACGGGGGCCCGCACAAGCGGUGGAGCAUGUGGUUUAAUUCGAUGCAACGCGAAGAACCUUACCUGGUCUUGACAUAUCUAGAAUCCUGCAGAGAUGCGGGAGUGCCUUCGGGAAUUAGAAUACAGGUGCUGCAUGGCUGUCGUCAGCUCGUGUCGUGAGAUGUUGGGUUAAGUCCCGCAACGAGCGCAACCCUUUUCCUUAGUUACCAGCGGUUUGGCCGGGGACUCUAAGGAUACUGCCAGUGACAAACUGGAGGAAGGCGGGGACGACGUCAAGUCAUCAUGGCCCUUACGACCAGGGCUACACACGUGCUACAAUGGUAGGUACAGAGGGCAGCUACACAGCGAUGUGAUGCGAAUCUCAAAAAGCCUAUCGUAGUCCAGAUUGGAGUCUGCAACUCGACUCCAUGAAGUAGGAAUCGCUAGUAAUCGCGGAUCAGAAUGCCGCGGUGAAUACGUUCCCGGGCCUUGUACACACCGCCCGUCACACCAUGGGAGUUGAUUGCACCAGAAGUGGGUAGCCUAACUUUUAGAGGGCGCUCACCACGGUGUGGUUGAUGACUGGGGUGAAGUCGUAACAAGGUAA
rnacentral:rRNA from 1 species